rnacentral:rRNA from 1 species
UACGGAGGGUGCGAGCGUUGUCCGGAAUCAUUGGGCGUAAAGGGCGCGUAGGUGGCCCGGUAAGCGUGCGGUGAAAGCUUGGGGCUCAACCCCGAGUCGGCCGUGCGAACUGCUGGGCUUGAGCACUGUAGAGGCAGGCGGAAUUCCGGGUGUAGCGGUGGAAUGCGUAGAGAUCCGGAAGAACACCGGUGGCGAAGGCGGCCUGCUGGGCAGUAGCUGACACUGAGGCGCGACAGCGUGGGGGAGCAAACAGG